CACAUUGCAAACGGAUUUAAAGCCAAACUUCCAGAUAUACAAUAUGUUAACUACAAAUCAGCCAUACAGAUAACGAAGGAACAACCAUCAGAGCUGUCAAAAGAACAACGCAAUAACAAUAACGUCAGUUGCCAAGACAACCAGUUCAAUUUUUUAAGCAACACUUAUGUGAAAACAAAAGACUUGUCCGAGAAAACCAACGAGUGCUUUGUCAAAAUUAAAGAAGGGAUGAUCGUUAAGUUGAAGGUCGCUACAGACGAGUCAGAAGUUGCCUUUGGGUGGUAUAAGACAAACCCGUGUCAUCAAAAGAGAUGGGGAUUCUUCCGCAAAUCUACAGAAAACAUGAAGUAACUAAAACAUAAACAUUGAGGAGAACGAUGUAGACUUUUUUAAAAUGAUUACAACUUCAUUUUUCAUUAUUGAGUUGUGGGAGUACGUGUGUAUCGGUAUGUGUGAUUGAGUGAGAGAAUGAGUGUUAGAGAGGGAGUUUGUGUGUCUUUGUAUGUGAGAGAAUGUUUGUGCAAGUUAGAUUGAAAGUGUCUAAUAUGUAAUGAAUUUUUUUGAGAGAGUGUGUAUAUGCAUGACAUGGGAAAAAUGAGA